rnacentral:rRNA from 1 species
UACGUAGGGGGCAAGCGUUGUCCGGAAUCAUUGGGCGUAAAGAGCGUGUAGGCGGCCAGAUAAGUCCGCUGUGAAAUCUCGAGGCUCAACUUCGAGCUGUCGGUGGAAACUGUCUGGCUAGAGUCCGGAAGAGGAGAAUGGAAUUCCUGGUGUAGCGGUGAAAUGCGCAGAUAUCAGGAAGAACACCCGUGGCGAAGGCGGUUCUCUGGGACGGUACUGGCGCUGAGACGCGAAAGCGUGGGGAGCAAACAGG